UCGAAAAGCCCAAAGGAUAAGGUAUGUUUAUAUGUGCAUUGGAAAAGUCGAUAUGUUUGAGUAACAUUCGUUCAAUCGACUAACGAGUUUUCAGCUAUUGAAUUGGUUGAUAUCUUGUGAAAGUAUAUAAUGAUGAAGUGUGAAAUUUUGCUCGUUAGCGAUCGGAUUCGGGAUCAUUAAAGUCGAAGUCAUCUACACUAUCAAAGCCUCCAUUUUGGUAUAAUUUUGGUUGAACUUUGAAAUGGCAUGUAUAGGACUACCCUAUUGUUGAAGGUCAUGUACCUUUCGGUUUUGUGUAAACUUGGAUAGCCAUGCGAAAAUGGCUUAUAUCGUUUUUGGUAUGAUACUAUAA